rnacentral:misc_RNA from 1 species
AACGCACAUUGCGCCCCUUGGUAUUCCGAGGGGCAUGCCUGUUCGAGCGUCAUUAUGACCACUCAAGCCUGGCUUGGUAUUGGGGUUCGCAGACCCGCGGCUCUUAAAAUCAGUGGCGGCGCCAUCUGGCUCUAAGCGUAGUAAUCUUUCUCGCUACAGGGUCCCGGUGGAUGUUUGCCAGUAACCCCUUAUUUUCUUAGGUUGACCUCGGAUCAGGUAGGGAUACCCGCUGAACUUAA